UAAUAUAUUAGGUGGGGACUCUCGUCCCCAUGGUGGAGGAAGAGGUGGAAGCUCUGGCACACGUCCGCGUCAUCGUCCUCCUUGCAUUCCUGAAGAGGCUCGAGGUGAGAGAUUCACAUUUGACGGAUCUCAUGUCCUUUUUUAGACCUUCUGUUUUCGUGUACGAGCUCACAUUACAUUACCCGUUGUAAACCUUGACGUACCCAUGAAACUCUUUCUGAUCCUUAAUUAAUAUAUCAGUGGGGACUCUUCGUCCCCUCAUACGUUUGUCUGCUUUCAAAAAAAAACAUUUCACUACUAUGUUUUGGUAUCGAAGAUUUUGUUAGGGUUGCGACUGGUGCGGAAUUGUGUUCUUGACCUGCACAACAUCGGGGUCUAUGGUUUAAUGCGAGUGAACAUGUCACUAUCAAAAGGAAUCCUCUUGGAGAUAGAGUGGCUGCUGAGAAUAUUUCUGAUGAACUUCAUCAAUCUAAAUUGCAUCAUCUAGCUCUUUGGUUGUAGAACAUUGCAUUAGGUUAGGUUAGGCUAGGCUUUGGACUAUCGACUACCUUUGAACAUCGCUUUUUACCGUCACUCUGUUGGGGCGGACUUUUGCAUCCUUCUAACGGCUCUAGUCCUAUUAUGAAGGCUUGUGUUACCUCUUUAGUGGUCAGGAUGCUUCUACUAAUAUUUUUCAUAUACAUAUAUGGCUUCGGCUAGGUAAUAUUUGAUCUCGGCGAUGUACCAUGUUGUAAUGAAAUUGGAAAUUUCUAUUAAUUCCUCCUAAUAUUAUUGGUUAAAAGUCAAAAAUAAUUUCAUAUGAAUGGAUAAAACAAAUAUUCGAAAUGACAAGAUGAUUAGGUAGAAAGAACCUAUUUUUACUAAAAAAAUACAGACGUUCAGCAAGAUAUGGUGGCAUCGACAUAAAGUGACGAAGGACCCGCUACUGUCCGGCCAUAAUAUUUUUCCAUCUACUGCAGGAUUUCUUCCUCUUAACUUAUUUGAAUUAGAUGGCGGCAAUGCGUGCUAUUUGAUAUGAGAACAUAUCUAAUAUAAAUGGAAGAUUGGUGCACAUGAUGCACAUAUUAAAUCAUCACCACUCAUUUCUUCUUGUUGUGUUGGCCCCUACACAUCAGUUGAUCAGUUACUUGUUAAUUUGGUGUUCCAUACAGAUGAGAUUGGCAUCUUUGUUUUUUUGACUGCUUCUGCUAUUGAAACUAGCAGUUUUUGCCACCACAGACUAAAAUCAUUUUGCUUUGUUUGUGUACAAUGGAGAUGGACAAAUUAAAGGCCCUAAAAAAGGGCGGGUGCUGCCGCCGAUGGUUGUGAUGCUAAGCGGAUCCCCUCUCUUGUGGCCUGCCAUAUGGAGCUGGCGGUCAAUGUCUCGUUUUUUGUAUAUCUUUUUUUUUUUGCUUGAUGUGUUCAUGUGUUGUGUGUACAAAAACUUCAGGUUCUUUGUUUUUGACAUUCUGGUGGUAAUGCAGAUGGGCUCGUAAACCAACAUUUUCAAAGUCGAAGUUGAGAUCCUGGUAUGUGGUAUGAGAUAUAAUGUCGUUGAUUUUUCAUGCGUUUGUGAGGACCUGCUUCCAUUAGCAUAAAGCAUUAUGGGUAGACAGAUGGGGACUGUUUAAUGUAAUCCAUUGUGAGCUAAAAGUUAUGCCUUGGCUCAAGUCACCUAAAAUUAGUUCUGUUUUUUUUUCUGUUAUGGUAUGUUGCUAUGCAGAAUAUUCAUGUGUAGUUUAGUUAUCGUGAAAAUGAAAGAAAACUGUUCAGGGCUAUCUGUUUGUUUAGGGUUGCAUUAAAGCAUUAUGGGUAGAACCUACACCUCAAUUUUAAAAUUUUAAUAUAGUGGAGCUAUGUGUUUGUUUUACUGCUUAUACACAACCUUUUGAUAGAAGUGUUAUGGUUUCUGCUGUGCCUAUCAGGGCUGUGACUAUUUUGUGUGUGUGUUUUGUGAUUAAUGACCCCUCUCAGAGGCUUCUUCAAACAGUUGCCAGCAGGCCUGAAGGAGUUUUUUUUUAUUCAACUUCAUUUUUGACUCUUUGUAUGCCCAUAUUUGUACUCUAACUGAAAUCUGAACUACUCAUGCAUGUGGAUACAAUACAACUUUAAGGAUUACACCUUUUGCUUGAUGUGCUUAUAUGUUGCGUGCACAAAAACUGUAGGUUCUUUGUUGUUGGAAUUCUGGUGGUGAUGCAGACAGGCUGGUAAACCAAUCAGGGCAAAAAUAAUCAGGGCCGUUAGGGUUUGUUUACUUUGCAAAAUAAUCAGGGCAACCUAGGAGGCGUCUCCUUCAGAGCCGUUAGAGGGUGUGUUCGUUAGUUCGAGAAGGUAGCAGCCUUGGCAGAGAUUCUGCGCUUCUCCACCAAGAAAGCUGAACAUGAUGCUGCUCAACUCAUCUUGUGAUGCAUGCUUAUCUUAUUGAAUUUGUGUUAAAUAAGCUUGUGAGUGGAUGAUUUCUUUGGUUAGCAUUAGUAUGUUUUUGGUCUUGCUCACUCCCCGUUGAAUGUAGCUUUUGAUUGUUUGGGAACGCUAUCUGAAACUGUGAACCCAUUUCUGAAUUUAGCAAGACAUUACCUUUCUCAGAUCAGUACAUAGAUUACAGUUCCAUCAAAUGGUGACAUAUAGCUGCAUAUUUG
rnacentral:lncRNA from 1 species